CCCAGAUCCUGUACCCCCAUAAGAGAUAUCUUACCAAGCUGUUCUGUCAUUUUUUUUUUCAUUUUUUGGCCUCUCCCAUGCUCUUUUCCAAUGAGGCACCAGAGAGACAGAUGAACAGGAUACUGGCCCUGCUCUCACGGAGCUCUGGAAGUAACGGAGAGGACAGAUUCAUGCGCAGCCAAUCACAGACCUGGGAACGCCGUUACAGUGGCAAAGAAUAAGCUAUCGAUGUUACAGCGACCCUCCAAGGAGCCCAAGAAUUUCCUGAGUUGGAGAAGAGGGGUCAGGGCAGGGGGAUUCUAGAGGGGUGCGUGGGAGAGUAAACCUCACGUCCAGCAGAGACCGAAGGGGGCUCCUCGCAGGGAGGGAUGGGGGGUGAGAGGCUGCAGAGGUUGCCUGGGGCCUGCUGGGACUUGACCUAGCUGACAGUGGGCACCAUUGAGAAAUGUGCAGUGGGAAGUGGCGGGGCCACGUUUGCAUUCUAGGAGGAUGUCCUGGCAGCCGGGGAGGGUGGUCUGCAGGGGCCAGAGUGGAGGCCGGAAGGCCAGCGAGGGGUUGUCAAAUGUGGCGUCCAAAGCAAUGCCUCCAACUGCCAGCGGAGAGAAGUCUCAUUAGCAAAAAGAAGGAGGAAUUGCUCCUGCCACUUAGACUGCAAAAAACCCAAGUUCAACAUAAAAUAAAAUAGACUUUUUAUUUUCUGAUUUUGCAUUUUCUAUUAUCUGUCCUUCUUUUGCUGUUCCGUGUCAUCUCCUUGUUUCCUCUCUGGUUUUCCAUGAGUUCUUUGCAUACUUUGUUUUCAAUUUUAAAAUGCAUAUCUUUCCGUAUAAAGUUAAUGGCCCUGCCUCCCUGCAGCUGGGGAGACCUGAGUUCAAAUCCCAGCUCUGCUGUUUGCCGCCUGCUGUUCCUUCUUUGUGAAAGGGGAGGUUUCAGUCCCUCUCCGAAAGGGGCAUGUGAAGAGGAGGUCAUGCCCAGCAGAUAUUUACGAGGAUGUCUAAGACAUGGGAACUAGGACGAUUGUUUUCAAUAUUAUGCUUCUUUAAAAGGCUGUUUUAGCUGUUUAAGCAAUCCAGGCAAAGAUAAGGUGCUGAGUUCUAUGAAGAGAACACAGAGAGAUUAAUUCCAGAGAUACGUCAGGGGUGAGGACGACCUCACCUAACAGGUGACUGUCAUGCCUGUGAGAAAAUACCUUUUCCAAAUGGUGCCGUCCACUUCUAUCUCUCCACGGAAGGAUGGUGAAGUCUUCCACCUGGAGCUCCUGAGAGAACAGUGGGCUUAGUGGAAACACCACACACCUGGCUGGGUGUUUUCAGGUGGAGACGCUGAGGGCUGUUUCUUUCCAGUCCUGGAAGACGCGGAAUUUCUUCUCGGCAGCUUUGCUCGGCCUGCGUCUGAGCGGUAAGUCCAGCCCUCCCUGCCACAUCUUUUGCAGGCUGAUUCUUAUUCAUCCUUCACUUCUCAGCUCCAAUCUCACCUUGGCAGUGAGGCCACAGCCAUCUGCCAAAGGGACCCGGGUCGCUCCUUCCCACAUCCUGUUUUAUUCAUUGUCUGAGUGGCGGCGUUCAUUUUCCUGUUUACUUGUGGACUGAUUCGUUUCGUCUUCCCUCCCUGGCAUGUGCACUGUGCACUACCGCAUCUUCAGCACCUAAAACAAUGCCUGCAACGCGGUGGACACUGAGGAAAUAUUGUUGGCUGGAUGAGGAAACUGAGACACAAAAAUGGGGGAUGACUUGCCCAGGAAGCUGGACCACAUCACACAACGUUACUAUUGUAAUACCUUUAUCAAGAGUACCUCACAUGGCAACAAUGGGAGAAAAAUCAUACAGCUGGCUGCGUCAGGGAGAAAAGGAAGGGUGCCCCGGAGGCCACGGGAGACCAAGACAAUCCCUCUGUGGCUCAGAGUCUGGUAAUGGCUUAAUUAUCUUGCGGGGGAAAAAAAUGUGAACUGGCUACACCUCCUGAUCCAUGAAAUUGCAAUUACCCUGAAGAGUCGUUCAUCAACUGCCCUUUUGAAGGUGGGAGGGACAGCAUCUGAGGCUGCACAUUUUGACGCACACACAGCUUCCCACAGUGACACAGUGGGAGGGACGGUGGCCGGGGUGAGGAAUCCCGAACGCGGCUUCCCCUCUGCCUUGGCUACACAGGCGUUCUUUGGUUCAUUGCUUCUCCUCUCUGCACUGCAUCUGCACUGCACAUUCUUUACUUAAAAUAUGGCUGUGGUUCAGAAGAUGGGUUUUUGCCCACUUAGGGCAUGUGCUCACUGAUUUAAAAACUUCUCCACUCCCUACCACUCUCUGUUGUCUAAUGAUGCAUUUCAUUUCAUUGAUUGAUUGAUUGACUGAGAUGGAGUCUCCCUCUGUCACCCAGGCUGGAGUACAGUGGCACAAUCGUGGCUCACUGCAACUUCCACCUCCUGGGUUCAAGCGGUUCUCCUGCCUCAGCCUCCCACGUAGUGGGAAUGCAGGCGCCUGCUACCACGUCCAGCUAAUUUUUUUAUUUUUAAUAGAGAUGGGGUUUCGCCAUAUUGGCCAUGGUUGGCCAGGCUGGUCUUGAACUCCUAACCUCAGGUGAUCUGCCCGCCUUGGCCUCCCAAAGUGUUGGGAUUACAGGCGUGAGCCCCUGUGCCUGGCCCUGCAUUUCAUUCUUUUAAGUUCUAUGUUUGGCACAUGUCCGAAAGCUGGGCUGCCAGAUUUAGUAAAUUUAGUAUAAGUAUGUGUUGUGUAGUAUUUGGAACAUGCUUAUAUUUUAAAAGUAUUAAUUUUUAAUCUGAAAUUAAAACGUAACUGGGCAUCCUGUGUUUUAUCUGGGCAUUUCACAGAAGCAUUUGAGUUUGAGACUCCUAGACUAGAGGGUUUGUGAGGUAUAUUUCAGCUCUAAAAGUGUAUAGCCAUCAACUCAUUCAGUAAUCUUACUGGGUGCCUGUGGCAUAUAUAUUUUUGCUUUCUGGGAAAUACAGUUGGAACCCUG
rnacentral:lncRNA from 1 species